AUUGUGUUUAGAUUAUAUCUGACCAAAUCCGUUAUAUAUCUUCUCCACAUAUAAUAAUAACCGCUAAGAAGUAAUAAAAGAAUCUCUUACUAAUAAAAGGGGCUCAUUGAGGCAUCUCAAUGUAUCCACAUCAGCUUCUCCCAAUUUUCUCUCAAGUUGACACGUCAGCUUAUUCAGUUUUGUAGCUCUCAAUUUCGCUCAACCUGCCACGUCAUCAACAAUCAAUCUUUAUUCUUGAGCCAACGAAAAUAGGGCUUUCAAUCGGAGAUGUUUAACGUCUGAGAAAGUCGAGCCGUUUCCCCUUCUUAGCAAUCCUUACUCUUAAAUUAGAGAUGAUCUCAUAAACGACGCAUCUCGCCUGCAUACAUCAUUGAAGGUUUCUCUUUACCUUCUUCCACGAUUUUAGAAUCGACAGUCUGUAUGAACAGAGGUUACUACGGUUGUUUUAAUCUCGAGGACAUCAUCGUCGCUUAAUUGAGGUGAAGGUGUAUUGAAGAGAUGAAAGAAAGAGGUCCAGAAGGAUGGAUGAUCUGCUCAAAAAACAAGAUGCAGGCUUCUAAAACGAAGGACAAGACAAUUUCAUUCUAAUACGAACCACCACCAGGUUGUUGCUAACGUUUGUUGUAAUGGCAUUGAC